rnacentral:rRNA from 1 species
AGCAGCCGCGGUAAUUCCAGCUCCAAUAGCGUAUAUUAAAGUUGCUGCAGUUAAAAAGCUCGUAGUUGAAUUUCGGGACUAAUAUGUCGGUCGUGCCUCGGUACGUACUGGUUUAUUGGUUUCUCCUUUCUGAAGAACCAUGAUGUCAUUUAUUUGGUGUCGUGGGGAAUCAGGACUGUUACUUUGAAAAAAUUAGAGUGUUUAAAGCAGGCUAACGCUUGAAUACAUUAGCAUGGAAUAAUGAAAUAGGACGUUCGAUCCUAUUUUGUUGGUUUCUAGGAUCGACGUAAUGAUUAAUAGGGAUAGUUGGGGGCAUUAGUAUUCAAUUGUCAGAGGUGAAAUUCUUGGAUUUAUUGAAGACUAACUACUGCGAAAGCAUUUGCCAAGGAUGUUUUCAUUAAUCAAGAACGAAAGUUAGGGGAUCGAAGACGAUCAGAUACCGUCGUAGUCUUAACCAUAAACUAUGCCGACUAGGGAUCGGAUGAUGUUAAUUUUUUAAUGACUCAUUCGGCGCCUUACG